rnacentral:rRNA from 1 species
AUUGAACGCUGGCGGCCGGCCUAACACAUGUAAGUCGAACGAGUGGCGGACUGGUGAGUAAUGUCUUAGAAACUGCCUUAUGUAGGGGGAUGACUCCUGGAAAAGUUAGCUCAUACCGCAUAACCUCGGAUGUGCCCAGAUGGGAUUAGCUAGUCGGUGGGGUAAGGGCUAACCUAGGCGACGAUCCCUAGCUGGUCUGAGAGGAUUACAGGCCACACUGGAACUGAGACACGGUCCAGAAUCCUACGGGAGGCAGCAGUGGGGAAUAUUGCACAAUGGGCGCAAGCCUGAUGCAGCCAUGCCGCGUGUAUGAAGAAGGCCUUCGGGUUGUAAAGUACUUUCAGCGGGGAGGCGUUACCCGCAGAAGAAGCACCGGCUAACUCCGUGCCAGCAGCCGCGGUAAUAC